rnacentral:snRNA from 1 species
UGACGUGCAAAUCGUUCGUCU